rnacentral:rRNA from 1 species
CCUACGGGGGGCAGCAGUGAGGAAUAUUGGUCAAUGGACGAGAGUCUGAACCAGCCAAGUAGCGUGAAGGAUGACUGUCCUAUGGGUUGUAAACUUCUUUUAUAUGGGAAUAAAAUGUUCCACGUGUGGGAUUUUGUAUGUACCAUAUGAAUAAGGAUCGGCUAACUCCGUGCCAGCAGCCGCGGUAAUACGGAGGAUCCGAGCGUUAUCCGGAUUUAUUGGGUUUAAAGGGAGCGUAGGUGGAUUGUUAAGUCAGUUGUGAAAGUUUGCGGCUCAACCGUAAAAUUGCAGUUGAAACUGGCAGUCUUGAGUACGGUAGAGGUAGGCGGAAUUCGUGGUGUAGCGGUGAAAUGCUUAGAUAUCACGAAGAACUCCGAUUGCGAAGGCAGUUCACUAGACUGCAACUGACACUGAGGCUCGAAAGUGUGGGUAUCAAACAGGAUUAGAUACCCCUGUAGUC